rnacentral:rRNA from 1 species
AGUAACCUGCCUGGAGUGGGGAAUAACAGCUGGAAACAGCUGCUAAUACCGCAUAAUGCAGUUGGGCCGCAUGGCUCUGACUGCCAAAGAUUUAUCGCUCUGGGAUGGACUCGCGUCUGAUUAGCUAGUUGGUGGGGCAACGGCCCACCAAGGCGACGAUCAGUAGCCGGACUGAGAGGUUGGCCGGCCACAUUGGGACUGAGACACGGCCCAGACUCCUACGGGAGGCAGCAG